UGAAUCCCUAUCUGUGAUAACUCAUCACAUAGAAUAUCUAUAUUUACACUAUUAAAUGCACCUGCAACAUCAAAGAACACUCCAACCAGAUUUUCAUUUGCUGUUAUGGAUUUAUAAAUAUCAAGCUGCAGUUGACAAAUACUUUCACGAGCGGAACGAUUCCUACGAAAACCAAAUUGAUUUGAUGGGAUGUGAUAACUGCUACCAAGAGGACAAUCAUGUACGUUCCAUUCACAAUUCAGCGCUAAAGAUGAUGAAACUAAUGUCAAAUCCAACGCAUUAGGACGCCAAGUCAAGGAGCCAACAGUAGUUGGUUGACCAUCAUUGAGCAGAACCAAAUUAUUAUCAUCAAUAACCUGUAGAAUACUGCGCCCACGCACAGAGUCCGAGCCACAGCCCCAAGAUGUGUGAUGAGCAUUAAAAUCACCAGCCAAUAUGAAAGGUUCAGGAAUAGAUUUUAUUAAUAGAUCCAAUUUUUCCUUUGAGAAUUGCGGAUUACAAUUCAAAGGACUAUAAAGACUGACUAUACAUAACUCUUUGUUAUUUACUUUUAUUUUAACACAAAUAUUUUGUAAUGAGUUAUCACAGAAGGUUUUAAUUUGAGUAUAAUUAAUACUUUUAUGAAUGAUUAUUGCAACACCAUUAUGUUUGUUACCAAUAUCAUUUCUUUCAAUAUUAUAAUGUUUAAUUUUAAAAUCGUGUUGCGGUUUUAACCACGUUUCACUAAUGAUUGCCAGAUGAAUAUUGUGUCUAUAAAGAAAGUCAAUAAAUAUAUGUUUGUUACUAUUUAAGCUUUGUGCAUUCCAUUGGACAAUAUUUAAUUCCGAAAUAUCCAUUAACAGGCAGAAGAAAAUUUAUCACAUAAAGUUGAUUUGAGAGCUUCUUUAAUCGACAUUGAAUUAAUGGGUGUUUGUUUAUUGCUUAAUAUUUUCGUAAGUGUUUCCACUAAUGUAUUUAUAAAUUUGUCUGAUUUCAUAAGAUUAUUUAUUUGCGUGUCAAUAUUGCGUGCCGUUAGAGCUGGGAAUGAAUUCACAUUAAAAAGGUCUGAAUAAGUGGC